rnacentral:rRNA from 1 species
CCAGUUUAUCCUGCUGGAGAUUGCAGCUAUUUGGUUUGGAUUUAAGCAUGCAAGUCUGACGAAAGUCGGCGUACUGCUCAGCAACACGUAGUUAAUCUGCCCUUAGGUCAGGGAUAUCCUCGGGAAACUGAGGCUAAUACUUGAUAGGAGUUUUGUUCUGGAAUGAUAUUACUCUCAAAUUCGCGCCUAAGGAUGAGACUGCGGCUGAUUAGCUUGUUGGCGGAGUAAAAGCCCACCAAGGCGAUGAUCAGUAAGGGCCCUUAGCGGGGUCGCCCUGAGAAGGAAUCUGAGACACUAUUCCUAGCUCUACGGAGUGCAGCAGCUGCGAAUUUUCUGCAAUGCGCGCAAGCGUGACAGAGCGAACCAAAGUGUUAUCCUUUUUGGAUAACUUUUGUCUGCUGUAAAAAGGCAGAUGAAUAAGGACUGGGCAAGACCGGUGCCAGCCGCCGCGGUAAUCCCGGCAGUCCAAGUUGCAAUCAACUUUAUUGGGUCUAAAACAUCCGUAGCUUGUUUAGUAAGUUUCUUGUGAAAUCUGGCAUCUCAAGUGUCAGGCGGGCAGGGGGUACUACUAAGCUAGAGACCGGAAGAUGUAAGGAGUACAUUCAAGGUAAUGGUUAAAUAUGUUAAUCUUGAAUGGACUAACAAUUGGCGAAGGCACCUUACAAGAACGGAUCUGACAGUGAGGGAUGAAGGCCAAGGGCGCAAAACGGAUUAGAUACCCGUGUAGUCUUGGCAGUAAACACUGCUCACUAAACAUCGGGAUCUCUUCGGGAGAUUUCGGUGCUGAAGCGAAGGCGAAGAGUGAGCUACCUGGGAAGUAUAGUCGCAAGAUCGAAACUUAAAGGAAUUGGCGGGGAGACACUACAACGAGUGACGCGUGCGGUUCAAUCAGAUUCUACACCGUGAACCUCACCAGGAGCGACAGCAGGAUGAAGGUCAGCCUAAAGGGCUUACCUGACACGCUGAGCGGAGAUACAUAGUCGACGUCAGCCUGUGCAGUGAUGUGACUUGUUAAAUCAAGUAACAGGCGAGACCCGUGUUAACAAUUACUCUCGAAAGAAGAACAUUGUUGAGACUGCCUUGGUAACAAGGAGGAAGGUGCGGGCUACGUCAGGUGGCAUGUCCCUAAUCCCCUGGGCUACACGCGCGCGGCAAUGGUAUAUUCAAUUGGAUGCAACACCGAGAGGUGAAGCAAAUCCCCUAAAGUAUAUCUCAGUCCAAAUUGAGGGUUGCAACCCACCCUCAUGACGCUGGAAUUCGUAGUAAUCGUUCGUUAUCAGCGAACGGUGAAUAAGUCCCUGUCUCUUGCACACACCGCCCGUCAAACCAACCGAGUUAUGCAGAGAAGAAGCUCAUAUGGGAAGAUUUUUUGUAUGACAAGGUAGGUUAAGUCGUCACAAGGUAUCUGUAGGGGAACCUGCAGAUGGAUCACCU